GCGGAAAUAGCUUAAUGGUAGAGUGUCUCCUUGCCAAGGAGACGGUUGAGGGUUCGAUUCCCUUUUUCCGCU
rnacentral:tRNA from 1 species